GAUGAACGCUGGCGGCGUGCCUAACACAUGCAAGUCGAACGGACAGACAAUGAGCUCGUUCCUUUGACGUUAGCGGCUGGCGGGUGAGUAACGCGUGGAUCACCUUCUUCUUUGUCUGGGAUAAUUACGUAAGACCGGAUAUAAUACUACAGCAUAUAUCGUACGGCUGGGAGCAAUAGUGCAUGACGGUUUUGCCGUUUCUUUUAGAUGGUUCCGCGCCGCAUUAGCUAGUUGGUAAGGUAACGGCUUACCAAGGCAACGAUGCGUAGCCGACCUGAGAGGGUGAUCGGCCACACUGGAACUGAGACACGGUCCAGACUCCUACGGGAGGCAGCAGUGGGGAAUCUUGCACAAUGGGCGAAAGCCUGACGGAGCAACGCCGCGUGAGUGAAGAAGGUCUUCGGAUCGUAAAACUCUGUUAUUAGGGAAGAACAAAUGUGUAAGUAACUAUGCACGUCUUGACGGUACCUAAUCAGAAAGCCACGGCUAACUACGUG
rnacentral:rRNA from 1 species